rfam:Gossypium raimondii Chr01_contig_14, whole genome shotgun sequence.
UGUUAAAAUUUCACUAUUUUAUUGUUAAAAACUGAUAUGACUGACAGAAUAACUAAACGGUGACACAUGACAUGUCACGUGUACCUCAUGCUGACGUACAAGACCAUUUUUUAAUAGUAACAAUGGGUGAAAUUUUUAACA